AUGAUGAUCGUGGGAGAGACCCCUCGGGGCGCCGAAGGAGCAAUCUGGUUUACAGACGCUGUGUAAGACUGGUUAAACUCUCAGGCAAAGGGACUGCGAUCGGACG
rnacentral:ncRNA from 2 species